GAGGUUUUUGUAGACAGAUUUCGCAUUUGUAGUGUUUUCUAUUAUGUUAAAUGUUGUUUUUGACAAGAUUGCCUGGGUAUCAUAGGAUGGAAUGAUCCUGACAUAUAUACGAGACAAAUAUUAAUUUUCCUGAUAUGAGAUAAUUCUCUAUAAGGGGAAGGCAUUAAAUCUACAAGUUCGAUCUUAACAUGAAUCAAUUUACAAGGUUGAAACACUAUAACUCUUUGUAUGUUCUUCAAAUAUGUGUCAAUUUUUCCACAUAAUAUUCACACAUUAGAUUAAUUUCAGCUAAAAAAUUUGCAACCCCGGUGGUACUCUUGACAUGGUUUAUUUAUGAACUCAAAAUCCAAACUUGUAGAUCGAAUUUUCAAACAGCACGGGGAGCACAAGGUUACUUUCCCGGAGGUUCACAAACACACCAACCUUCCCUUGGUUUCUGUCCCCCUAAGGCCAUCUUUUAACAUAUUCAAUGAAGUACUGGUUUUUGUAGUGUAUUCAUGGACACCAAAAACCAAUUCUUGAUGGCGAUUUUUCAUUGGUCUAAUAAUAUAUACAAACAAAUCUCUGCAAAUUAAAAUCUAUCAUCUAAAUCAAAAAAAAUUACUCGUAUGUAUCAAUAUGCACAGACUAAAAGAUCCAUUAAAAGUUUUUUUUUAUGUUACAUCGUACUUGUAAUCUCCAAUGACUCAUUUAAUUAAUCAAAUAUAAAUAUAUCUUUUUUCCUGAAUCAAUUAUGUCUUUUUAUUUAAAAUAAUCAAUCUAUCAGCCAUAUAACCGAAAUCCUUAAAAAGCAAUGCUAGUUUACCAACUAUCAGGUAUUAGAUCAAGUUGAAGAACUUUCUUAAAUUAAACGAUAGUUCCCACUAUCUUAUGCUUCCUAGAUUUUUAUCAAUAGUAAGGGUCCUUUUCCCUGACACCGUGUGUCAGGGAAUAUUUAACCAACACAUUGCUUCCCAGCUGUUGGAUCGUUAAUUCAAUGGUCGAGAUAAAAAGAAAAUUUUAAUUGAUCCGUUGGUUUUUUACACGGAUUGACUGACCGGACCUGCUUUCCGUGGUUAUUAUACGCGGUACGGGUAUCUAGAUCCGCUGAAAAGAAACACGGACGGACGGAUAUUAUCACUCAGAUUCAACCAUUGAUUUAUCAUCUUUUCGCUGAUUUAAGCGAACCCAGAUCAAAAAGAUUAAAGCUUUGAUUACAAACCUGUAAAUGAAGAUGUCUUUGUUAUCACCGAGUGCUUUUCUUUGAGUAAUACACAUGCCUUGAGAUGAAUUGGUUGGGUUGGUUAUGGUUGAUUUGGGUGGAGAUCCAGUAAAAUCAGCCUUCAUGUCAGCAAGAGAAACAAGACCAUCGUCUUCUUCAACGAAACAAGGCCUUCUUGAGGUUACAGUUAAGUCCAUUCGGCGAGAGAGACCGAGAAAGAGACGCCGGCGAGAGAGACCGAGAAAGAGAUGCCGGCGGGAAUGAGGGAAAGGACAGUUUAGAGAGUGGGGUUUAUCAGCACGUCCGCGUUUUUUUUCAGCGGAUCAAGAAACCUAUACCACGUAAAAUAACCACGGAAAGCAAGCCCAACCCACUCAAUCCGCGUAAAAA
rnacentral:lncRNA from 1 species